rnacentral:rRNA from 1 species
CCUACGGGAGGCAGCAGUGGGGAAUAUUGCGCAAUGGGCGAAAGCCUGACGCAGCGACGCCGCGUGGAGGAUGAAGGUCUUAGGAUUGUAAACUUCUGUUAAGUGGGAAAAAAGGCUCAUUCCUAAUACGAAUGAGAGAUGAUGGUACCGCUAGAGAAAGCACCGGCUAAUCUCGUGCCAGCAGCCGCGGUAAUACGAGAGGUGCAAGCGUUAUUCGGAUUAAUUGGGUGUAAAGGGCGCGUAGACGGCGUGUUAAGUUUAUUGUUAAAGGCCCCGGCUUAACUGGGGAUCCGCAGUGAAUACUGGCAUGCUAGAGGAUGGAAGAGAGAAGUGGAAUUCUUGGAGUAGCGGUAAAAUGCGUAGAUCUCAAGAGGAACCCCGAUGGCGAAGGCAGCUUCUUGGUCCAUUCCUGACGUUGAGGCGCGAAAGCGUUGGGGAGCAAACAGGAUUAGAUACCCUGGUAGUCCACGCUGUAAACGAUAAUCACUAGACGUUGGUUCUGUUUAACCGGAAUACAGUGUGAGACUACGACGUAGUAGAUCACUGAGUACGUCGCGAGAUAAACUUAAUAGAGUAGAGNGNGAGAGNGCGAGACGACGACGAGGAGGAGG